UUUUCAGAAAGAAUUUCAGACCUCCCCGAGAAACAGCAAGGACACGACAUGUUAUUCAUAGAUUGUUACCUUAACAAAGUGUUCAUUUGUAAAAUAUCCGAUAUUUUUUUCCCAAUUAACAAAGCAUUGUUGCGGAAGGGUGGUUUGCCGAUUAAGUUUAUUAUCCUCAAUUUUUGUUUGAUGCUUUCCUUUAUAAUCUGAUAUAUCUCUUUCAAUGUUUUUAUUUUAUUGCAGACUUCGGAGUUCACUUUGGCUUCAAUUUAAGCCCCAUCAUAUUGCUGCUGGGGCUGCAUUCCUUGCUGCCAAGUUCCUAAAUUAUGAUCUUGCCUUUCAUCAGAGUUUCUGGCAGGAAUUCCAGACAACACCAUCCAUUCUUCAAGAUGUUUCACAGCAGUUGAUGGAACUCGUCUAAAAUGACACAUCAGUAUGCUUACAUGUUGUACUAAAGGUUUGUUGUACACCAUGUAUAUAUUGGAUAAAGUAAUUAAAUACAAGGAUAUCAAUGUUUUAUUGCAUGAAUGAGUCAGCUAAAUGUCUUCGUAAUGCUUGCUAUAUUUUUUAAUUAUUGGCAGCAUUUCUAUUCUUAA